UACGUAGGGGGCAAGCGUUGUCCGGAAUCAUUGGGCGUAAAGAGCGUGUAGGCGGCCCGGUAAGUCCGCUGUGAAAGUCCAGGGCUCAACCCUGGGAUGCCGGUGGAUACUGUCGGGCUCGAGUCCGGAAGAGGAGUGUGGAAUUCCUGGUGUAGCGGUGAAAUGCGCAGAUAUCAGGAAGAACACCUAUGGCGAAAGCAGCUCUCUGGGACGGUACUGACGCUGAGACGCGAAAGCGUGGGGAGCGAACAGG
rnacentral:rRNA from 1 species